rnacentral:tmRNA from 1 species
CCUCUUUAACUCCCGUGCUCAAACGCAUAUAUUUUCUAUGUUCCCUCGGGAACUAUGGACAUAAAUGCGCUCGUAAUAAACGGAUCGGACCCGGGGGCGGUACCCGGCGUCUCCACCAUAUAUCCUUCAUUUGAGGAUCUUGGGGACGAAAUAGGAUCGACGGACGUCUAAAGGGGUUAGCUUUGUCUCGGCUGUCUGCCACCGUUAUCGGCGAAACUUGUACAAUUGCAAAUGACAAUCGUGCUCCGGCAAUGGCAGUUGCAGCGUAAGCUGUAAAUGUCGCCGAAACUUAAGUCCUUACGCCUAGCCGCGUAAGGCGGGGUUCGCAGGUACCUGGCAACAGAAACCUGCACU